CUUAUGUUGUCAGAAAAUAUUCGUGACCCCCUCGGACCGAGCGCCCGAAACCACAAAUGACGAAGCGGAGCUGACAACCGGCAUCCGGAUGUCAACUGCCGCUUCCCGGGCACCCAGUAUCAUAUAAGUGAUGACAGCGCAAA
ensembl:ncRNA C02D4.9 ncRNA